rnacentral:rRNA from 1 species
UCGAGGAUCUUCGUCAAUGGGGGAAACCCUGAACGAGCGAUGCCGCGUGAGCGAUGAAGGCCUUCGGGUUGUAAAGCUCAAAAGAGGUGAGAAAGGGAAACUUGAUCAAACCUCAGUAAGCUCGGGCUAAGUUCGUGCCAGCAGCCGCGGUAAUACGUAGGGUGCAAGCGUUAAUCGGAAUUACUGGGCGUAAAGCGUGCGCAGGCGGUUGUGUAAGUCAGAUGUGAAAUCCCCGGGCUCAACCUGGGAAUUGCAUUUGAGACUGCACGGCUAGAGUGUGUCAGAGGGGGGUAGAAUUCCACGUGUAGCAGUGAAAUGCGUAGAUAUGUGGAGGAAUACCGAUGGCGAAGGCAGCCCCCUGGGAUAACACUGACGCUCAUGCACGAAAGCGUGGGGAGCAAACAGGAUUAGAUACCCUUGUAGUCCCUGAGCGGGCUGGCAAGGCGCAU